UACGUAGGCAGCAAGCGUUGUUCGGACUUACUGGGCGUAAAGGGUGUGUAGGCGGUUCUUUAAGUUUGGUGUGAAAUCUCCCGGCUCAACCGGGAGGGUGCGCCGAAUACUGAGGGACUAGAGUGUGGGAGAGGAAAGUGGAAUUCCUGGUGUAGCGGUGAAAUGCGUAGAUAUCAGGAGGAACACCGGUGGUGUAGACGGCUUUCUGGACCAUAACUGACGCUGAGACACGAAAGCGUGGGUAGCAAACAGG
rnacentral:rRNA from 1 species